rnacentral:rRNA from 1 species
AUGCUACCGACAAAUAUGCUCAAUGCUGCAACCGGUGCUAUGCGGAGUCUGCAUGACAGUGUUCUUUCUUUGGAGAAGCGGCGUCUCAGGGAGAAGGAUGUGGCAUACCCAGUUUUCGCGGCCAAGGUGCCAGAGGGCAAGGGCUUUGUGGAUAACUCCAUCGGGCGUACGAUCGUCCUGCAUUUUGAUGACAUCCACGCUAUGUUGAACCUUCAUCCGCUGCACAACACCUUCGUUCGGCUAUUUUCGCUGAGUAUGGAGAUGCGGAUCAUUCGCGACAAGACCCCGGACAUCGUGAUAGUCGACCCCUUCUACAUGCGUGCCAAGAUCUUGGGCAGCGCUGGGGACCGGCAAGUCGCGAGUUCUUACCUCGAAGGCGUCAUUCUGGCAAACCAAGAUAAGGAUAACUUCCUCGUGCCUUACUUUCCCGAGUAA